AGCGAACGCUGGCGGCAGGCCUAACACAUGCAAGUCGAACGAACUCUUCGGAGUUAGUGGCGGACGGGUGAGUAACACGUGGGAACGUGCCUUUAGGUUCGGAAUAACUCAGGGAAACUUGUGCUAAUACCGAAUGUGCCCUUCGGGGGAAAGAUUUAUCGCCUUUAGAGCGGCCCACGUCUGAUUAGCUAGUUGGUGAGGUAAAGGCUCACCAAGGCGACGAUCAGUAGCUGGUCUGAGAGGAUGAUCAGCCACAUUGGGACUGAGACACGGCCCAAACUCCUACGGGAGGCAGCAGUGGGGAAUCUUGCGCAAUGGGCGAAAGCCUGACGCAGCCAUGCCGCGUGAAUGAUGAAGGUCUUAGGAUUGUAAAAUUCUUUCACCGGGGACGAUAAUGACGGUACCCGGAGAAGAAGCCCCGGCUAACUUCGUG
rnacentral:rRNA from 1 species